rnacentral:misc_RNA from 1 species
GCACUCUCACACCUAACCUUUGGGUUAUGUCGUGGAAUUGGGAUGCGCCGAUUUUUAUUAGUCGGCACUCCUAAAAUGUAGCUCUUGGCUGUUUCCUACUACAGCAGUUUGGCCUAAUAGUUUUGACUUUUGUCAAAUCUUUGGCUACAUUUGCUUCUGGAAGUCAGUCUUGAUAAUACAGAAAACUCAUUUCAAACU